GACGGACGCUGGCUGCGUGCUUAACACAUGCAAGUCGAACGCUGAAGCUCACAGCUUGCUGUGGGUGGAUGAGUGGCGAACGGGUGAGUAACACGUGAGUAACCUACCCCCGAUUUCGGGAUAAGCCCGGGAAACUGGGUCUAAUACCGGAUAUGACCACCGGCCGCAUGGUUGGUGGUGGAAAGUUUUUCGAUCGGGGAUGGGCUCGCGGCCUAUCAGCUUGUUGGUGGGGUAAUGGCCUACCAAGGCGACGACGGGUAGCCGGCCUGAGAGGGGGACCGGGCACACUGGGACUGAGACACGGCCCAGACUCCUACGGGAGGCAGCAGUGGGGAAGAUUGCACAAUGGGGGAAACCCUGAUGCAGCGACGCAGCGUGCGGGAUGACGGCCUUCGGGUUGUAAACCGCUUUCAGCAGGGAAGAAGCGUAAGUGACGGUACCUGCAGAAGAAGUACCGGCUAACUACGUGCCAGCCGCCGCCGUAA
rnacentral:rRNA from 1 species